AAUUUGGGUAUUUUGAGUUUUGUGGACAAGCAACAUAUACCUUUUGAGAGCCUAACAAUCACUUCAGAGUUUUCCUCUCAAUGUCCCUUAGGCAUCACCCAGGGCCCUGGACACACACUCCUAAUUUACAGAGAAUCACAUUGAGGCAUAGAGAUAUUUGUACAGCAUGUGUGUAUUGAGUCAGGGAUCAAAUUCUGGAUUUUCAAUCUGUCUUCCACUUUAUUAUGGGAAAUCACUUCUUUAUAUAAAAGUGAAAAAAAGGCUGUUAGCUUGAUUUGAUUUUUCCAUUAAACAAGCUCAAAAUGUGCAUGAAAAUGCUGGAAAUAAAUUUUAAAAAGAGGAUAAAAACACUUUCUGUGUAUUAUUUAUUUACUUUCUUUACAGACUGAUUUCCUAUAAUCGUGAAUAUGCUAGAGGUGAAGGAGGUUCAUUUCAUGGAUUGAAAAAGAGGCUUACUGGACAGAAUGCAGACGAGAGCCCAACAGUCUCUGCUUGCAAUUGCAUUGGAGCUGACUUCCACAAGAUGGAAUUUCCAUUCUCGGGUUUCCAUUUGAGAUUUACCUUCAUAGCAGAGACAAGCAAAUAUAUUCUCCUUUUGUGCCAACAGCAUAAAUCUACAGAAAAUUAAAUUCUUGGGAAGAAUAACACUGACCUUCAAUAACUCUGCUAACCAAAUUCUUGAGCUGUGGUGGGAGUCAUCUGUGGUAACUCGGUCUGAAUAAUG
rnacentral:lncRNA from 1 species